rnacentral:lncRNA from 1 species
CUGAUUCGUUCGGGAACAAGCGGUUAGGUGAUCGAGAAGGUUCAAGGAACGGUCGUGUUCAAGGAAAGAGUAGUGAGUCGUCUUUUCGUGGAAGGAGUGAUAGAAAUGUAGAUUCAGGGUCGUCUUUUCGUGGAAGGAGUGACAAAAAUGUUGACUCAGGGUCGUCUUUUCGUGGUAGGAAUGAUAGAAAUGUAGAUUCAGGGUCGUCUUUUCGUGGAAGGAGUGAUAGAAAUGUAGACUCAGGGUCGUCUUUUCGUGGAAGGAGUGAUAGAAAUGUAGACUCAGGGUCGUCUUUUCGUGGUAGGAAUGAUAGAAAUGUAGACUCAGGGUCGUCUUUUCGUGGUAGGAAUGAUAGAAAUGUAGAAUCAGGGUUUAGGAGAGAGCCAGGUUCCGAAAACAACAGGGGCUUGGGGAAACAGACAAGAGGCUUAAGCCUGGAAGAGGA